ACCUGGCUGGCUCAGUCGGUUAAGCGUCCGACUUCAGCUCAGGUCAUGAUCUUGCAGUAGUCCGUGGGUUCGAGCCCCGCGUCAGGCU
rnacentral:tRNA from 1 species